CUAUGAUCUGAAGUCAGGUGGGAUUACCCGCUGAACUUAA
rnacentral:rRNA from 1 species